rnacentral:rRNA from 1 species
AUUGAACGCUGGCGGCAGGCCUAACACAUGCAAGUCGAGCGGAGCGGCGGACGGGUGAGUAAUGCCUAGGAAUCUGCCUGGUAGUGUGGGAUCACGUCCGGAAACGGGCGCUAAUACCGCAUACUAUCAGAUGAGCCUAGGUCGGAUUAGCUAGUUGGUGGGGUAAAGGCCUACCACGUCGACGAUCCGUAACUGGUCUGAGAGGAUGAUCAGUCACACUGGAACUGAGACACGGUCCAGACUCCUACGGGAGGCAGCAGUGGGGAAGAUUGGACAAUGGGCGAAAGCCUGAUCCAGCCAUGCCGCGUGUGUGAAGAAGGUUUUCGGAUUGUAAAGCACUUUAAGUUGGGAGGCGUUACCAACAGAAUAAGCACCGGCUAACUUCGUGCCAGCAGCCGCGGUAAUAC